UGUGUUGGAGCGGGGAGGAUUCAGUUUUCACAGCUGUUAAACACAAACUAAACCAUGUAGUAUUUCAAUUCAAUUUAUUUUAUUUGUAUCGCGCCAAAUCACAACAAAGCUGCCACAAGGUGCUUCACAUGAGGAAAAGCUAACUGUACCCAGCAGGU